GGAAUGUAGCUCAGUGGUAGAGCACUUGCCUAGAAUGCAUGAAGCUCUGGGUUUGACUCCCAGCACCCCA
rnacentral:tRNA from 1 species